AACGAAACCUUUCGGGGUUUAGUGGCGGACGGGUGAGUAACGCGUGAGAAUCUGGCUUCAGGUCUGGGACAACCACUGGAAACGGUGGCUAAUACCGGAUGUGCCGAGAGGUGAAAGGUUAACUGCCUGAAGAUGAUCUCGCGUCUGAUUAGCUAGUUGGCAGUGUAAUGGACUACCAAGGCGACGAUCAGUAGCUGGUCUGAGAGGACGAUCAGCCACACUGGGACUGAGACACGGCCCAGACUCCUACGGGAGGCAGCAGUGGGGAAUUUUCCGCAAUGGGCGAAAGCCUGACGGAGCAAUACCGCGUGAGGGAGGAAGGCUCUUGGGUCGUAAACCUCUUUUCUCAGGGAAGAACACAAUGACGGUACCUGAGGAAUAAGCAUCGGCUAACUCCGUGCCAGCAGCCGCGGUAAUACGGAGGAUGCAAGCGUUAUCCGGAAUGAUUGGGCGUAAAGCGUCCGCAGGUGGCGAUGUAAGUCUGCUGUUAAAGCGUCUAGCUCAACUAGAUAAGAGCAGUGGAAACUACAUUGCUAGAGUGCGUUCGGGGCAGAGGGAAUUCCUGGUGUAGCGGUGAAAUGCGUAGAGAUCAGGAAAGAACACCAGUGGCGAAGGCGCUCUGCUAGGCCGCAACUGACACUGAGGGACGAAAGCUAGGGGAGCGAAUGGGAUUAGAUACCCCAGUAGUCCUAGCCGUAAACGA
rnacentral:rRNA from 1 species